AUUGAACGCUGGCGGCAUGCCUUACACAUGCAAGUCGAACGGCAGCACGGGUGCUUGCACCUGGUGGCGAGUGGCGAACGGGUGAGUAAUACAUCGGAACAUGUCCUGUAGUGGGGGGUAGCCCGGCGAAAGCCGGAGUAAUACCGCAUACGAACUACGUAUGAAAGGGGGGGACCUUGGGGCCUCGCGCUAUAGGGUUGGCAGAUGGCGGAUUAGCUAGUGGGUGGGGUAAAGGCCUACCAAGGGGACGAGCAGUAGCUGGUCUGAGAGGAGGACCAGCCACACGGGAACUGAGACACGGCCCAGACUCCUGAGGGAGGCAGCAGUGGGGAAUUUUGGGCAAUGGGCGAAAGCCUGAUCCAGCAAUGCCGCGUGUGUGAAGAAGGCCUUCGGGUUGUAAAGCACUUUUGUCCGGAAAGAAAUCCUUGGCCCUAAUACGGUCGGGGGAUGACGGUACCGGAAGAAUAAGCACCGGCUAACUACGUG
rnacentral:rRNA from 1 species